rnacentral:sRNA from 1 species
UGACCACUUUCCUCGGAGAGUUAAGGCCAUACGGACAGCCGGGUCAAAUGCCGA